rnacentral:rRNA from 1 species
CAGCCGCCGCGGGAAUACGAAGGGUGCAAGCGUUAAUCGGAAUUACUGGGCGUAAAGCGCACGCAGGCGGUUUGUUAAAUCAGAUGUGAAAUCCCUGGGCUCAACCUGGGAAUUGCAGUGGAUACUGGGUCACUAGAGUGUGGUAGAGGAUAGUGGAAUUUCCGGUGUAGCAGUGAAAUGCGUAGAGAUCGGAAGGAACAUCUGUGGCGAAGGCGACUAUCUGGGCCAACACUGACACUGAGGCACGAAAGCGUGGGGAGCAAACAGGAUUAGAUACCCCUGUAGUCCCUGUCUCUUAUAA